rnacentral:sRNA from 1 species
UUGCAAUAGGGAUAGUAAUGAAAAUCCUUUUUAUAAAUUUUUUGUGAAACAAUAAUCUGGGAAAAUUUAUAAAAAGAUUGUAAUGGAUAGCCCGGCUUUUU